rnacentral:rRNA from 1 species
GACGAACGCUGGCGGCGUGCUUAACACAUGCAAGUCGAACGGAAAGGCCCUGCUUUUGUGGGGUGCUCGAGUGGCGAACGGGUGAGUAACCCGUGAGUAACCUGCCCUUGACUUUGUGAUAACUUCAGGAAACUGGGGCUAAUACCGGCUAGGAGCUCCUGCUGCAUGGUGGGGGUUGGAAAGUUUCGGCGGUUGGGGAUGGACUCGCGGCUUAUCAGCUUGUUGGGGGGGUAUUGGCUUACCCAGGCUUUGACGGGUAGCCGGCCUGGGAGGGUGACCGGCCACAUUGGGACUGAGAGACGGCCCAGACUCGUACGGGAGGCAGCAGUGGGGAAUAUUGCACAAUGGGCGGGAGCCUGAUGCAGCAACGCCGCGUGCGGGAUGACGGCCUUCGGGUUGUAAACCGCUUUCGCCUGUGACGAAGCGUGAGUGACGGUAAUGGGUGAAGAAGCACCGGCUAACUACGUG